rnacentral:rRNA from 1 species
GACGAACGCUGGCGGCGUGCUUAACACAUGCAAGUCGAACGGAAAGGCCCUGCUUUUGUGGGGUGCUCGAGUGGCGAACGGGUGAGUAACACGUGAGUAACCUGCCCUUGACUUUGGGAUAACUUCAGGAAACUGGGGCUAAUACCGGAUAGGAGCUCCUGCUGCAUGGUGGGGGUUGGAAAGUUUCGGCGGUUGGGGCUGGACUCGCGGCUUAUCAGCUUGUUGGUGGGGUAGUGGCUUACCAAGGCUUUGACGGGUAGCCGGCCUGAGAGGGUGACCGGCCACAUUGCGACUGAGAUACGGCCCAGACUCCUACGGGAGGCAGUAGUGGGGAAUAUUGCACAAUGGGGGGAAGCCAGAUGCAGAAACGCCGCGUGCGGGAUGACGGCCUUCGGGUUGUGAACCGCUUUCGCAUGUGACGAAGAGUGAGUGACGGUAAUGGGUAAAGAAGCACCGGCUAACUACGUG